GGAGACAGUCACGGUACUCGUUUCCAGACAGAAGUCAUGAGGAACAAGAGGGAAGGUGCUUUCCCGUGUGCAGCGCUUGGGGAGACUCACACAGACAGAGGAUCUGGCAUGACAGGGAAAGGAGGAAAUGGCUUCUGUUAAUCUCUCCUUCAGCUUCUCCCGCCCUUCCCAUGCACUCUUCCUGUUUCCCUUUCCAGUUCUCACGGUGACUCAAGGAACAACGUGUGAAAUGAAAGACCUCAGGUGCUGUAUUGGCUCUUGACAGCUCUUCAGAAGAAAAUACCUCCUGCCUGUUCUGUUCAGUCCUGGUGCAGGUGGUCCUGGACAACACUUUGAAAAAUGCUGGGGCAGAAACAAGCCAGCAAGCAUAUGGGAUUCAUCUGCUAGAUUAGGACACAGAUGCACACAGAGGGAAGACCAUAUGAACACAGAGGGAGAAGACAGCCACCUGCAAGCCACAGAGAGAGCCCUUCAAAGAAACCAACCCUGCAGACAAUUUGAUCUCAGGUUUCUGGCCUCCAGAAUUGUGAGAAAAUAAAUUUCUGUUGUUUAAGUCA
rnacentral:lncRNA from 1 species